rnacentral:rRNA from 1 species
ACGAUAUGCUUUGGGGAGCUGUAAGUAAGCUUUGAUCCAGAGAUUUCCGAAUGGGGAAACCCAGCAUGAGUUAUGUCAUGUUAUCGAUAUGUGAAUACAUAGCAUAUCAGAAGGCACACCCGGAGAACUGAAACAUCUUAGUACCCGGAGGAAGAGAAAGAAAAUUCGAUUCCCUUAGUAGCGGCGAGCGAAACGGGAAGAGCCCAAACCAACAAGCUUGCUUGUUGGGGUUGUAGGACACUCUAUACGGAGUUACAAAGGACGACAUUAGACGAAUCAUCUGGAAAGAUGAAUCAAAGAAGGUAAUAAUCCUGUAGUCGAAAAUGUUGUCUCUCUUGAGUGGAUCCUGAGUACGACGGAGCACGUGAAAUUCCGUCGGAAUCUGGGAGGACCAUCUCCUAAGGCUAAAUACUCUCUAGUGACCGAUAGUGAACCAGUACCGUGAGGGAAAGGUGAAAAGCACCCCGGAAGGGGAGUGAAAUAGAACCUGAAACCGUGUGCUUACAAGUAGUCAGAGCCCGUUAAUGGGUGAUGGCGUGCCUUUUGUAGAAUGAACCGGCGAGUUACGAUUUGAUGCAAGGUUAAGCAGUAAAUGUGGAGCCGUAGCGAAAGCGAGUCUGAAUAGGGCGUUUAGUAUUUGGUCGUAGACCCGAAACCAGGUGAUCUACCCUUGGUCAGGUUGAAGUUCAGGUAACACUGAAUGGAGGACCGAACCGACUUACGUUGAAAAGUGAGCGGAUGAACUGAGGGUAGCGGAGAAAUUCCAAUCGAACCUGGAGAUAGCUGGUUCUCUCCGAAAUAGCUUUAGGGCUAGCCUCAAGUGAUGAUUAUUGGAGGUAGAGCACUGUUUGGACGAGGGGCCCCUCUCGGGUUACCGAAUUCAGACAAACUCCGAAUGCCAAUUAAUUUAACUUGGGAGUCAGAACAUGGGUGAUAAGGUCCGUGUUCGAAAGGGAAACAGCCCAGACCACCAGCUAAGGUCCCAAAAUAUAUGUUAAGUGGAAAAGGAUGUGGCGUUGCCCAGACAACUAGGAUGUUGGCUUAGAAGCAGCCAUCAUUUAAAGAGUGCGUAAUAGCUCACUAGUCGAGUGACACUGCGCCGAAAAUGUACCGGGGCUAAACAUAUUACCGAAGCUGUGGAUUGUCCUUUGGACAAUGGUAGGAGAGCGUUCUAAGGGCGUUGAAGCAUGAUCGUAAGGACAUGUGGAGCGCUUAGAAGUGAGAAUGCCGGUGUGAGUAGCGAAAGACGGGUGAGAAUCCCGUCCACCGAUUGACUAAGGUUUCCAGAGGAAGGCUCGUCCGCUCUGGGUUAGUCGGGUCCUAAGCUGAGGCCGACAGGCGUAGGCGAUGGAUAACAGGUUGAUAUUCCUGUACCACCUAUAAUCGUUUUAAUCGAUGGGGGGACGCAGUAGGAUAGGCGAAGCGUGCGAUUGGAUUGCACGUCUAAGCAGUAAGGCUGAGUAUUAGGCAAAUCCGGUACUCGUUAAGGCUGAGCUGUGAUGGGGAGAAGACAUUGUGUCUUCGAGUCGUUGAUUUCACACUGCCGAGAAAAGCCUCUAGAUAGAAAAUAGGUGCCCGUACCGCAAACCGACACAGGUAGUCAAGAUGAGAAUUCUAAGGUGAGCGAGCGAACUCUCGUUAAGGAACUCGGCAAAAUGACCCCGUAACUUCGGGAGAAGGGGUGCUCUUUAGGGUUAACGCCCAGAAGAGCCGCAGUGAAUAGGCCCAAGCGACUGUUUAUCAAAAACACAGGUCUCUGCUAAACCGUAAGGUGAUGUAUAGGGGCUGACGCCUGCCCGGUGCUGGAAGGUUAAGAGGAGUGGUUAGCUUCUGCGAAGCUACGAAUCGAAGCCCCAGUAAACGGCGGCCGUAACUAUAACGGUCCUAAGGUAGCGAAAUUCCUUGUCGGGUAAGUUCCGACCCGCA